rnacentral:rRNA from 2 species
UACACAUGCAAGUCGAGCGGAAGGCCCUUCGGGGUACUCGAGCGGCGAACGGGUGAGUAACACGUGAGCAACCUGCCCCAAGCUUUGGGAUAACCCUCGGAAACGGGGGCUAAUACCGAAUAUUACUUCUGGCCGCAUGGCUGGUGGUGGAAAGUUUUUCGGCUUGGGAUGGGCUCGCGGCCUAUCAGCUUGUUGGUGGGGUGAUGGCCUACCAAGGCGACGACGGGUAGCCGGCCUGAGAGGGCGACCGGCCACACUGGGACUGAGACACGGCCCAGACUCCUACGGGAGGCAGCAGUGGGGAAUAUUGCACAAUGGGCGGAAGCCUGAUGCAGCGACGCCGCGUGAGGGAUGACGGCCUUCGGGUUGUAAACCUCUUUCAGCAGGGACGAAGCGAGAGUGACGGUACCUGCAGAAGAAGCACCGGCCAACUACGUGCCAGCAGCCGCGGUAAGACGUAGGGUGCGAGCGUUGUCCGGAUUUAUUGGGCGUAAAGAGCUCGUAGGCGGCUUGUCGCGUCGACCGUGAAAACUUGGGGCUCAACCCCAAGCCUGCGGUCGAUACGGGCAGGCUAGAGUUCGGUAGGGGAGACUGGAAUUCCUGGUGUAGCGGUGAAAUGCGCAGAUAUCAGGAGGAACACCGGUGGCGAAGGCGGGUCUCUGGGCCGAUACUGACGCUGAGGAGCGAAAGCGUGGGGAGCGAACAGGAUUAGAUACCCUGGUAGUCCACGCUGUAAACGUUGGGCGCUAGGUGUGGGGGGCCUCUCCGGUUCCCUGUGCCGCA